ACGGGGGGUGCAAGCGUUACUCGGAAUCACUGGGCGUAAAGAGCAUGUAGGCGGAUUAAUAAGUUUGAAGUGAAAUCCUAUAGCUUAACUAUAGAACUGCUUUGAAAACUGUUAAUCUAGAAUGUGGGAGAGGUAGAUGGAAUUUCUGGUGUAGGGGUGAAAUGCGUAGAGAUCAGGAGGAACACUAGUGGCGAAGGCGAUGUACUGGACCGUAACUGACGCUGAGACGCGAAAGCGUGGGGAGCAAACAG
rnacentral:rRNA from 1 species